GUGCUUGGUGGGCAGAGGCCAACGAUGCUCUGCCCUGGUGCCAACGCUUCUGCUGGGGUGACUAGUACGUAGUCCUGUCCUGUAACAAGGAGGCAGGCAGGGCAGAGGCCGACUGCUCUCUGCCCUGAUGCCAGCUCUUCUGCUGGGAAGAUGCUAGGGGGUAUGUCUCUGGACGACAGCCCCAGCUGCUGAUGGGUAGGACCGACCAUCUCCACUCCCUGUAUCUUUC